GAAGAAAAGGAAUAUCAAACGGAGUCCAAACGGAAUGAAACCUUCGGGAGCAUUAUUUUUGGAACAAAUCUGAUCUGGAGAGCUUGGAGUGCAAGUCAAGAAGCAGCCGAGGCUCCCACGAGAUAGGAGGGCGCGGCCCCCUGUAGGGCGCGCCCCUUGUCUCGUGGGCCCCUCGAGCGUCCAUCGACGUACUUCUUCCUCCUAUAUAUACCUACGGACCCCGAAAACAUCUAGGAGCACCACAAAACACAAUUUCCACCGCCGUAACCUUCUGUAUCCGCGAGAUCCCAUCUUGGAGCCUUCACCGGCACUCUGUCGGAGGGGGAAUCGACCAUGGAGGGCUUCUACAUCAACACCAUAGCCCCUCUGAUGAGUCGUGAGUAGUUUACCAUAGACCUACGGGUCCAUAGUUAUUAGCUAGAUGACUUCUUCUCUAUUUUUGGAUCUCAAUACAAUGUUCUCCCCCUCUCUUGUGGAGAUCUAUUCGAUGUAAUCUCUUUUUGCUGUGUUUGUCGAGAUCCGAUGAAUUGUGGGUUUAUGAUCAAGUUUAUCUAUGAAUAAUAUUUGAAUCUUCUCUGAAUUCUUUUAUGUAUGAUUGAGUUAUCUUUGCAAGUCUCUUCGAAUUAUCAGUUUGGUUUGGCGUACCAGAUUGAUCUCUCUUGCCAUGGGAGAAGUGCUUAGCUUUGGGUUCAAUCUUGCGGUGUUCUUACCCAGUGACAGAAAGGGUUGCAAGACACGUAUUGUAUUGUGGCCAUCGAGGAUAACAAGAUGGGGUUUAUAUCAUAUUGCAUGUGUUUAUCCCUCUACAUCAUGUCAUCUUGCUUAAUGCGUUACUCUGUUCUUAUGAACUUAAUACUCUAGAUGCAGGCAGGAGUCCGUCGAUGUGUGGAGUAAUAGUAGUAGAUGCAGGCAGGAGUCGGUCUACUUGUUAUGGACAUGAUGCCUAUAUACAUGAUCAUGCCUAGAUAAUCUCAUAACUAUGCGCUUUUCUAUCAAUUGCUCGACAGUAAUUUGUUCACCCACCAUAUUACUUAUGCUAUCUCAAGAGAUGCCUCUAGUAAAACCUAUGGCCCCCGGGUCUAUCUCUUAUCAUAUUUGCUUUCAAUCUAUCUUUAUUUGCAUCUUUACUUUUUGCAUCUAUAUUACAAAAUACCAAAAAUAUAUUAUUAUCUCUCUAUCAGAUCUCACUUUCGCAAGAGGCCGUGAAGGGAUUGACAACCCCUUUAUUGCGUUGGUUGCGAGUUCUCAGUUUGUUUGUGUAGGUGCGUGGGACUAUUGAGGAGCCUCCUACUGGAUUGAUACCUUGGUUCUCAAAACUGAGGGAAAUAGUUACGCUACACUUGCUGCAUCACCCUCUCCUCUUCGGGGAAAACCAACGCUAGCUCAAGACGUAGCAUUCGCACUCAAAUGAGUCAUAAUCAAGAGACUCCAAAAGUCCAUCUACAUGGAGUUUCUUCAUGCGUUUGACACCAGUGUGACCAAGGCGGCAGUGCCACAAGUAUGUGGGACUAUCAUUAUUAACCUUACAUCUUUUGGUAUUCACACUAUGAAUAUGUGUAACAUCACGUUCGAGAUUCAAUAAGAAUAAACCACUGACCAGCGGGGCAUGACCAUAAAACAUAUCUCUCAUAUAAAUAGAACAACCAUUAUUCUCAGAUUUAAACGAGUAGGCAGCUCCCAUUAAACGAGAUCCAGAUACAAUGGUCAUGCUCAAAGCUGGCACUAAAUAACAAUUAUUGAGGUUUAAAACUAAUCCCAUAGGUAAAUGUAGAGGUAGCGUGCCGAUGGUGAUCACAUCGACCUUGGAACCAUUCCCGAUGCGCAUUGUCACCUCGUCCUUCGCCAGUCUCUGCUUAUUCCACAACUCCAGUUUUGAGUUACAAAUAUGAGCAAUUGCACUGGUAUCAAAUACCCAGGAGCUACUACGAGUACUGGUAAGGUACACAUCAAUAACAUGUAUAUCACAUAUACCUUUGGUGUUGCCGGCCUUCUUAUCCGCUAAGUACUUGGGGCAGUUCCGCUUCCAGUGACCAUUUCCCUUGCAAUAAAAGCACCGAGUCUCGGGCUUGGGUCCAUUCUUUGGCUUCUUCCCGGCAACUAAUUUACCGGGCGCGGCAACUCCUUUGCCGUCCUUCUUGAAGUUCUUUUUACCCUUGCAUUUCUUGAAACUAGUGGUCUUAUUCACCAUCAACACUUGAUGUUCCUUUUUGAUUUCCACCUCCGCUGAUUUCAGCAUUGAAAAUAACUCAGGAAUGGACUUCUCCAUCCCUUGCAUAUUGUAGUUCAUCACAAAGCUCUUGUAGCUAGGUGGGAGCGACUGGAGGAUCCUGUCAAUGACCGGGUCAUCUGGGAGAUUAACUCCUAACUAAGACAAAUGAUUGUGUAACCCGGACAUAGUGAGUAUAUGCUCACUGACAGAACUGUUUUCCUCCAUCUUACAACUGUAGAACUUGUCGGAGACUUCAUAUCUCUCGACCCAGACAUGAGCUUGGAAAACCAUUUUCAGCUCUUGGAACAUCUCAUAUGCUCUGUGCUGCUCAAAACGCUUUUGGAGCCCCGGUUCUAAGCGGUAAAGCAUGUCGCACUUAACCAGGGAGUAAUCAUCACUACACGACUGCCAGGCAUUCAUAACGUCUUGAGUUGCUGGGAAAAAGGGCGCUUCACCUAGCAAUGCUUCUAGGACAUAUGCUUUCUUGGCAGCUAUGAGGACGAUCCUCAAGUUCCGGACCCAGUCCGUAUAGUUGCUACCAUCGUCUUUCAGCUUGGUUUUCUCUAGGAAUGCGUUGAAGUUGAGGGAAACAUUAGCGUGGGCCAUUUGAUCUACAAGACAUAUUGCAAAGAUAUUUUAGACUAUGUUCAUGAUAAUUAAGUUCAUGUAAUUAAAUUAUUUAAUGAACUCCCACUCCGAUAGACAUCCCUCUAGUCAUCUAAGUGAUACAUGAUCUGAGUCAACUAGGUUGUGUCCGAUCAUCACGUGAGACGGACUAGUCAUCAUCGGUGAACAUCUUCAUGUUGAUCGUAUCUACUAUACGAUUCAUGUUCGACCUUUCGGUCUCUUGUGUUCCGAGGCCAUGUCUGUACAUGCUAGGCUCGUCAAGCCAACCUAAGUGUUUUUCAUGUGUAAAUCUGGCUUACACCUGUUGUAUGUGAACAUUAGAAUCUAUCACACCCGAUCAUCACGUGGUGCUUCGAAACAACAAACUUUCACAAUGGUGCACAGUUAGGGGGAACACUUUGUUGAAUUUUUUUUAAUGAGGGAUGAUCUUAUUUAUGCUACCGUCGUUCUAAGCAAAUAAGAUGUAAACAUGACAAACAUCACAUGCAAAUCAUAAAGUGACAUGAUAUGGCCAAUAUCAUUUUGCGCCUUUGAUCUUCAUCUUUGAGGCGCGGCAUGAUCACCUUCGUCACUGGCAUGACACCAUGAUCUCCAUCAUCGUGUGUUCAUGAAGUUGUCUCGCCAACUAUUACUUCUACUACUAUGGCUAACGGUUAGCAAUAAAGUAAAGUAAUUACAUGGCGUUUUUCAAUGACACACAGGUCAUACAAUAAAUUAAGACAACUCCUAUGGCUCCUGUCGGUUGUCAUACUCAUCGACAUGCAAGUCAUGAUUCCUAUUACAGGAACAUGAUCAAUCUCAUACAUCACAUAUAUCAUUCAUCACAUUCUUUUGGCCAUAUCACAUCACAUAGCAUACCCCGCAAAAAAAGUUAGACGUCCUCUAAUUGUUGUUGCAUGUUUUAUGUGGCUGCUAUGGGUUUCUAGCAAGAACAUUUCUUGCCUACGGAAAAUCCACAAUGAUGAUAUGCCAAUUGCUAUUUACCCUUCAUAAGGACCCUUUUCAUCGAAUACGAUCCGACUAAAGUGGGAGAGACAUGCACCCGCUAGCCACCUUAUGCAACAAGUGCAUGUCAGUCGGUGGAACCUGUCUCACGUAAGCGUACGUGUAAGGUCGGUUCGGGCCGCUUCAUCCCACAAUACGGCCAAAACAAGAUAGGACUAGUAAUGGUAAGUAAAUUGAACAGACCAACGCCCACAACUACUUGUGUUCUACUCGUGCAUAUAAUCUACGCAUAGACCUAGCUCAUGAUGCCACUAUUGGGGAACAUAGCAAUAAUUCAAAAUUUUCCUACGUACCACUGAUACGUCUCCAACGUAUCUAUAAUUUUUGAUUGUUCCAUGCUAUUAUAUUACCCCUUUUGGAUGUUUAUGGGCUUUAUUCUACAUAUUUAUAUCAUUUUUGGGACGAACCUACUAACCGGAGGCCCAGCCCAUAUUGCUGUUUUUUUGCCUAUUUCAGUAUUUCGAAGAAAAGGAAUAUCGAACGGAGUCCAAACGGAAUGAAACCUUCGAGAGCGUUAUUUUUGGAACAAAUCUGAUCCGGAGAACUUGGAGUGCAAGUCAAGAAGCAGCCGAGGCUCCCACGAGAUAGGAGGGCGCCCCCCCUGUAGGGCGCGCCCCCUGUCUCGUGGGCCCCUCGGGCGUCCACCGACGUACUUCUUCCUCCUAUAUAUACAUACGGACCCCGAAAACAUCCAGGAACACCACGAAACACAAUUUCCACCACCGUAACCUUCUGCAUCCGCGAGAUCCCAUCUUGGAGCCUUCGCCGACACUCUGCUGGAGGGGGAAUCGACCAUGGAGGGCUUCUACAUCAACACCAUAGCCCCUCCGAUGAGUUGUGAGUAGUUUACCACAGACCUACGGGUCCACAGUUAUUAGCUAGAUGGCUUCUUCUCUCUUUUUGGAUCUCAAUACAAUGUUCUCCCCCUCUCUUGUGGAGAUCUAUUUGAUGUAAUCUCUUUUUGCGGUGUGUUUGUCGAGAUCCGAUGAAUUGUGGGUUUAUGCUCAAGUUUAUCUAUGAAUAAUAUUUGAAUCUUCUCUGAAUUCUUUUAUGUAUGAUUGAGUUAUCUUUGCAAGUCUCUUCGAAUUAUCAGUUUGGUUUGGCCUACUAGAUUGAUCUUUCUUGCCAUGAGAGAAGUGCUUAGCUUUGGGUUCAAUCUUGCGGUGUUCUUACCCAGUGACAGAAAGGGUUGCAAGACACAUAUUGUAUUGUUGCCACCGAAGAUAACAAGAUGGGGUUUAUAUCAUAUUGCAUUUGUUUAUCCCUCUACAUCAUGUCAUCUUGCUUAAUGCGUUACUCUGUUCUUAUGAACUUAAUACUCUAGAUGCAGGCAGGAGUCGGUCGAUGUGUGGAGUAAUAGUAGUAAAUGUAGGUAGGAGUCGGUCUACUUAUUAUGGAAGUGAUGCCUAUAUACAUGAUCAUGCCUAGAUAAUCUCAUAACUAUGCGCUUUUCUAUCAAUUGCUCGACAGUAAUUUGUUGACUCACCGUAAUACUUAUGCUAUCUCGAGAGAAGCCUCUGAAACCUAUGGCCCCGGGGUCUAUCUCUUAUCAUAUUUUCUUUCAAUCUAUCUUUAUUUGCAUCUUUACUUUUUUGCAUCUAUAUUACAAAAUACCAAAAAUAUAUUAUUAUCUCUCUAUCAGAUCUCACUUUCGUAAGUGGCCGUGAAGGGAUUGACAACCCCUUUAUUGCGUUGGUUGCGAGUUCUAAGUUUGUUUGUGUAGGUGCGUGGGACUUUUGAGGAGCCUCCUACUGGAUUGAUAUCUUGGUUCUCAAAACUGAGGGAAAUACUUAAGCUACACUUGCUGCAUCACUCUCUCCUCUUCGGGGGAAAACCAACACUAGCUCAAGACGUAGCAAGAAGGAUUUCUGGCGCCGUUGCCGGGUAGGUCUUCGCUCAAGUCAAGAUAUACCAAGUACCCAUCACAAACCCAUCUCCCUCGCAUUUACAUUAUUUGCCUCUCGUUUUCCUCUCCCCCUGAGGGAGUCCUGGACUAGGGGGUGUCCGGAUAGCCGAACUAUCAUCAUCGGCCGGACUCCAAGACUAUGAAGAUACAAGAUUAAAGACUUCGUCCUGUGUCCGGAUGGGACUUUCCUUGGCGUGGAAGGCAAGCUUGGCAAUACGGAUAUGUAGAUCUCCUACCAUUGUAACCGACUCUGUGUAACCCUAGCCCUCUCUGGUGUCUAUAUAAACCGGAUGGCUUUAGUCCAUAGGACGAACAACAAUCAUACCAUAGGCUAGCUUCUAGGGUUUAGCCUCCUUGAUCUCGUGGUAGAUCUACUCUUGUAAUACCCACAUCAUCAAUAUCAAUCAAGCAGGACGUAGGGUUUUACCUCCAAAAAGAGGGCCCGAACCUGGGUAAAACAUUGUGUCCUUUGUCUCCUGUUACCAUCCGCCUAGACGCACAGUUCGGGACCCCCUACCCAAGAUCCGCCGGUUUUGACACUGACAUUGGUGCUUUCAUUGAGAGUUCCUCUGUGUCAUCACCGAUAGGCUCGAUGGCUUCUUCGAUCAUCAACAACGAUGUAGUCCAGGGUGGGACCUUUCUCCCCGAAAAAAUCUUCAUAUUCGGCGGCUUUGCACUGCGGGCCAAUUCACUGGGCCAUCUGGAGCAGAUCGAAAGCUACGCCCCUGGCCGUCAGGUCAGAUUUGGAAGUUUGAACUUCAUGGCUGACAUCCACGAAGACUUGAUCUUUGAUGGAUUCGAGCCACAGCCGAGGGUGCCGCACUAUCACGAUGGGCAUGAUUUAGCUCUGCAGCCGGACAGUGCCCUGGAAGCCGCACACGAGUCCGCUCCGAUCCUCAAUUCAGAGCCGGCUGCGUAGAUCGAGGACGGGUGGCUAGAUACCGCCUCGGGGGCUGCAACCUCUACGGCGAUGGAGCCGAACACUGACCUAGUCCCUCAUGAAGCUCGUGACUCCGAGGUGCCGGACUCGUCGCCGGAUUCCGAACCUCCCGCGCCCCCUCCAAUCGAAUUCGAUUGGGCGCCGAUCAUGGAGUUCACCGCUGCGGACAUCUUUCAACACUCACCUUUCGGCGACAUCUUGAGUUCGCUAAAGUAUCUCUCAUUAUCAGGAGAGCCCUGGCCGGACUGCGGUCAGGACGGUUGGGAUGCGGAUGACGAAGAAAUUCAAAGCCCACCCACCACCCACUUAGUAGCCACUGUCGACGAUCUAACCGACAUGCUAGACUUUGACCCCGAAGACAUCGACGGUAUGGAUGACGAUGCCGGAGACGACCAAGAACCAGCGCCUACUGGGCACUGGAAAGCCACCUCAUCAUAUGACAUAUACAUGGUGGAUAUCCUAAAGGAUGGGAACGGCGAAGGAACAACGGAGGAUGACCCCUCCAAGAAACAGCCCAAGCGCCAUCGUCAGCGGCGCCACUCUAAAUCCCGCCACAGCAAUAAUGGAGAUUCCGGCACCGGAGAUAAUAACACCCCAGACAGUGCCGAAGACAACCCCCUCCAGCAAGAUUCAACACAGGAGGACGGCGACGCCAGCCCUCAUGAGAGAGCGGCAGACGAAGAGAUAGAGGAUUACAUGCCUCCCUCCGGAGAUGAGGCAAGCCUCAACGACGAUGAAUUCAUCAUGCCUGAGGAUCCCGUUGAACAAGAGCGUUUUAAACGCAGGCUUAUGGCCACGGCAAACAGCCUCAAGAAAAAGCAGCAGCAGCUUAGAGCUGAUCAAGAUCUGCUAGCCAACAGAUGGACUGAAGUCCUUGCGGCCGAAGAGCAUGAGCUCGAACGCCCCUCCAAAAGCUACCCUAAAUGCAAGUUGCUCCCCCGAUUAGAGGAGGAGGCAUAUGAACCUGCAUCACCAGCAGACAAUAUGGCUGACCGACCACCCCGUGGCCGCGACAGAGAGGCCUCUAGGCCCUCCACUAGAACCGUACCCCGAUAGUGCUCGAGAAGCACAAGGCCACAGGGGAACGCUCUGGACUUGCGAGAUAUAUUGGAGGAUAAGGCAAGACAAUCAAGAUCGAUCUAUGGAUCGCGUGGGCGCCCCAUGAUACGUGACGACAACCGUCGCACCGGACACAGUAAGUCCGGCCGGGUCGAACACUGUAGACAAAGCUCUCUUGAACUUCAUCGUGAUAUCGCCCAAUACAGAGGCGCCGCACACCCACUAUGCUUCACAGAUGAAGUAAUGGAUCAUCAAAUCCCCGAAGGGUUUAAACCCGUGAACAUUGAAUCUUAUGAUGGCACAACAGACCCGCGGUUUGGAUCGAGGACUAUCUCCUUCAUAUCCACAUGGCCCGCGGUGAUGAUCUUCACGCCAUCAAAUACCUGCCACUCAAGCUUAAAGGACCAGCCUGGCAUUGGCUUAAUAGCUUGCCAGCAGAGUCAAUUGGGAGUUGGGAAGACCUGGAAGCCACAUUCCUCAAUAACUUCCAAGGCACGUAUGUGCGACCACCAGACGCUGACGACCUAAGCCAUAUAAUUUAGCAGCCAGACGAAUCGGCUAGGCAAUUCUGGACACCGUUCCUAACUAAGAAAAAUCAAAUCGUCGACUGUCCGGAUGCGGAGGCCCUCGCGGCCUUCAAACAUAACAUCCGCGACGAGUGGCUUGCCCGGCACCUAGGACAAGAAAAGCCGAAAUCCAUGGCAGCCCUCACAUCACUCAUGACCCGCUUCUGCGCGGGUGAGGACAGCUGGCUAGCCCGCAGCAACAACCUCAGCAAAAAUUCUGGCAGUCCGUAUAUCAUGGACCGCAAUGGCAGGUCGCGUCACAACAAAAACAAACGCCGCAUUAACGGCGACAAUAGUGAGGAUACGGCAGUCAAUGCCGGAUUCAGAGGCUCCAAAUCCGGUCAGCGGAAAAAGCCAUUCAAAAGAACUACUCCGGGUCCGUCCAAUUUGGACCGAAUACUCGACUGCUCGUGCCAGAUACACGGCACCCCCGAAAAGCCAGCUAACCACACCAACAGGGACUGUUGGGUAUUCAAGCAGGCAGGCAAGUUAAUUGCCGAAAACAAUGACAAGGGGCUGCAUAGCGAUGACGAGGAAGAGACCCGACCGCCGAACAAUAGAGGACAGAAGGGUUUCCCCCCACAAGUGCGGACGGUGAACAUGAUAUACGCAACCCACAUACCCAAAAGGGAGCGGAAGCGUGCACUCAGGGAUGUAUACGCGAUGAAGCCAGUCGCCUCGAAGUUCAAUCCAUGGUCCUCCUGCCCGAUCACUUUUGAUCGAAGGGACCACCCCACCAGCAUCCGCCACGGCGGAUUCGCCGCAUUGGUUUUAGACCCAAUCGUCGAUGGAUUUUACCUCACCAGAGUCCUGAUGGACGGCGGCAGCAACCUGAACCUGCUUUAUCAGGAUACAGUGUGCAAAAUGGGCAUAGAACCCUCAAGGAUUAAACCUACAAAGAUUACCUUUAAAGGCGUCAUACCAAGUGUAGAGGCCAAUUGUACAGGCUCAGUUACACUGGAAGUGGUCUUCGGAUCCCCAGAUAACUUCCGAAGCAAGGAGUUAAUCUUCGACAUAGUUCCGUUCCACAGCGGCUAUCAUGCUCUGCUCGGACGUACCGCAUUUGCAAAGUUCAACACGGUGUCGUACUACGCAUACCUCAAGCUCAAGAUGCCAGGCCCUCGAGGAGUCAUCACGGUCAACGGAAACACUGAACGCUCUCUCCGAACGGAGGAACAUACAGCGGCUCUCGCGCUAGAAGUACAGUGCAGCCUCUUAAGGCAAUUCUCGAGUCUGGCCGCUAAGCGACCGGACACGGCUAAACGCGCCAGGAGUAACCUACAACAAGACCACCUGGCACGUUCCGAGCACACGUAGCAAUGCGGCCCCAACCCCAGCCCCUGCAAAAUUUCAAGACAGGUCCUUCGCGUACAUCAUUACGCUCUGGAGAUACCAUGGGCAUAGGGGGAGGGGCACGACCUCGAUAGGCCCAGAAUGCGGCUUAACCACACCAGGGGCUCUCAAGUGUGUCGUUUUUUUCUCUCUCUUUUUCUUUUUUUUACCCGCAGGACUCCGUUCAUCAGAGGCCCUGCCCGGCAGUAGACCUGCCGAACUCACGAUGCAAUAGCCAGGGAAGGAGAAAGGCUACGACGAAUAUCCAAGUGGUCUCCAUUACGAGCAUUAAAUCUGUUUAAUACACCAUUCCGCAGCCUACCCCUGGAGGGGGACAUGUUUAAUAGUCCCAUCCCUUGCUUAUUGCACCAUUUGUAUCAUUCUGCAUUCACAACAGUAUUUCUUGAAUAAACAAUGCAUCACCUUUUUACUUAUAAUUGCAUUUCUUUCUUAUACAUGUAUGACAUGUUGCAUCUGUACACUUUGGUACGGCUAAAUACACCAGGGGCUUAUGCUUCACGCAUCAUGGUGUGAUAAGUCCGAACACUUUCACAAGUGCGGCACCCCGAACUUAUAGCAUUAUAUGCAUCGGCUCCGAAUCAUGUCUUGGGUUAAUAGUUGGGUUUGCCCGGCUCCCAUGUUUUGGUACCUUAUGUUCCGUUGUAUCGGCUAAGGUAGCACUGGGAGAACCACUGCGAUUGCACCCCAGUUGAGCUGGGUGAGCCCCUUAGUGGAGAAAGCUAAAACUGACCGUCAUGAUGAGGCGAGAGCCGGUCGCUGUUCGAGAGGUUUUUUCGAGUCCCUAAAGACUUAUGCCACUUAGAGCGAGGAACCGGCUUUGUCCGGCCCAGGCGUGGAUAGCGCCCCAAAUUCGGCCUUCCGAACACUAGGGGCUUCGCCGAAAUUUAAAAUUAUAGAAUUCUAUGGCUAAGUGAGAGUGUUCAAGCAUUAUAAGUUCGGUUGCCUUGUUUGUUGUGUUGAGCGCCUCCCUAGAUGGACCCAAAAAUGGGAAUAAGAGUGCUCAAAUUUAUCCCGAACACCCCAGCACUCGUGGCAUGGGGGCUGAAGCCGACGACUUGCCAUCUCUCAGAUUUGAUAAACGGUCGCACAGAAGGUAAUAUUUUAAAUUAACAAGCGUUGCUUAGCGCAUAUGAACAAAGUUUUCAGUGCACACGAUAACAAAAUGCGAGUCUACUCAAAUAUUACAUCUUUGGAGCACUCACCCGCAAUAAUGCGGGCACCCUUCAGGACACUCUUAUAAUACAUCUCGGGCGUGCGAUACUCCUUGCCCGGCAGUGGCUCAUCCGUCACAAGCUUCUCAGCAUCCAUCUUGCCCCAUUGCACCUUUGCACGGGCAAGGGCCCGACGGGCACCUUCAAUGCAGGCGGAGUGCUUGAUGACUUCAACCCAUGGACACACAUCCACCAGCCGCCGCACUAGGCUGAAGUAGCUCCCAGGCAUGGCCUCCUUAGGCCACAGCCGAACUAUGAGGCCCUUCAUGGCUUGUUCGGCCACCUUGUGGAGCUCGACCAGCUGCUACAACUGGUCGCUAAGGGGCACCGGAUGUCCGGCCUCAGCAUACUGAGACCAGAAGACCUUCUCCGUCGAGCUCCCCUCCUCGGCCGAAAGCGGCAGCAUCGGACACGCUACGGGGCAGAUCUGCGAACGCUCCUGGAGAGCUCCGAAUUCGGGUAAGUGAUAGGUAAUUCACACUCACAUGCUUACUUUGCAUGAAAAAUGCCUUACCCGCCGCUAUUUUCUUCAACGCCUCGAUUUCCUGGAGGGCCUUGUAGGCUUCGGCCUUAGAGGCUUUGGCACUCUCAAGAGCCGAUGCAAGCUCGGACUCUCGAGUCUUCGAGUCACGCUCCAAACUCUCAUGUUUUUCCACGAGAGCCUGGAGCUCUUGCUGUACCUCCGCCACCCGCGCCUCCUGCUUCUCUCGCUCGGUGCGCUCCGUGGCCGCAUUAUGUUCGGCCGCGGACACCGCCGCCUUCAGGGUCGCCACCUCGUUCGUGGCCCCUGCAAUACCCACGUUAUCCUUGUCAUCCGCAACCAAAUCCUUUUCUAUAAGGUACAAUUUUAAUAAGGUGUUACUCACCUUCCUUAUCCUCGAGCUGCUUCUUGGCACGGCCGAGCUCGUUCUCGGACUGCUCGAGGUUUUGCUUCAAAGUAUUGACCUCCGCAGUCAGGGCGGCAGAGGUCAGCAGCAUAGCCUGCAAUCCCAUAUUGACAUACUUUUUUUAUGACUCCAGCGUAUAUCUUUUUAGAUCCUCAGUCCGGCUUUUCUUUCCGAAUACCGAACCGAGCAUCAGGGGCUACUGUCUAUGUGGUACUAUUUUACAUAUUUCAAAGUCCUUACCUCAAAGCCUGUUAGAAGGCUGCUGUAGGCUUCGGUCAGCCCGCUCUUGGCGAGCUGAACCUUCUGAAUCACCGCACUCAUGACAGUGCGGUGUUCCUCUUUGAUGGAGGCGCCGUUGAGCGCCUCCAGCAAGCCAUCCGGCGCCUCCGGUUGGACGGAGGCCGCCGGUUUCACGGUCUUGCCCUUCUUACGAAGGGGCCACCCGCCGGACUCUGGAGCCACUACAGGUUCCGGGGCGGAGUCUGGUGCAAAGUCCGAGAGGUUGCCCUGCGGCACCUCCGGGGCCUCCUCCUCCUGGCGGGUCCCUUCCCGGGAUCCCACCUCGGCAUCGUCCGCAUCACGGGGGGUGGAGGCGGUCGGAAGAGAAUCCAUAUCCGACGCACCCAAGGACCCGCUCGACGAAGCGGGAAGAUCGUCCUUGGGCGGACUGCAGGGUUGUAUGCAGCAUUAGAAAGACACCAUGUGGCGAAAAGAAAAAUCAUGAAGUUAUUCUGGAAUCCGGAUACUUACGAUCUCGCCAGGGGCUUGGCCCUUGGAGGCCAAUCCUCGUCGCCGUCGCCGGCGUUGGCAGAGCAGUCCGGGGGAAUUGUCCUUCCCUUCUUGGACCCUCUGGCCUCCCUCGUUGGGGAGGCCUUCCUUUUCUUCCCUCCCCCCGCUAGGGGAGAGGCCUCCUUCUUCUCCUCCUCGCCUUUGUGGGAGGAGUCUGCCUCGGAGUCAUCGUCCGAGGACACCUGAAAACGGGAACUCUUUCGAGUGCCCGUGGCCUUCUUCUUGGCCUUCUUCUCUGGCACCACAUGGGGUGCCGGAGCCAGCAGCCCCGUUAAGCGGGCGUCCGCUGGGUCUUCUGGCAAUGGGGCCGGACAGAUAGUCUGUUCGGCCUUCUUCAGCCAGUCCUAUCAAAGGAGGGGUUUAGAUCCCGCAUAGAGUCAAACUAUGGAAAACAAGUGUCCCGUAAAGGGCAAAAUCGCUUACCUCGCUAGCCAGACGCUACGAGCUGAAUCCGCGAUCUUCGGUAGCGGAUGCGGGAGCCUCGGCGCCCUUAAACAGCACCCUCCAGGCCUCUUCGUACAUAGUGUCGAAGAGCCCGCUCAAAGUCUGGUGCUGCGCCGGAUCAAACUCCCACAUAUUGAAGUCCCGUUGUUGGCACAGGAGAAUCCGGUGGAUGAGCAUGACCUGGACUACGUUGAUAAGCUUGAGCUUCUUGUUCACUAGCUUUUGGAUGCAGGCUUGAAGUCCGGUCAGCUCCUCCUAAUCACCCCAUGUCCGGCCACUCUCUUUCCAGGAGGUGAGCCAUAUGGGGAUGCCAGAUCUGAAUUCGGGGGCCGCUGCCCAUUCAGGGUCACGCGGCUCGGUGAUGUAGAACCACCCCGAUUGCCACCCCUUAAUGGUUUCCACGAAGGUGCCCUCGAGCCAAGUAACGUUGGGCAUCUUGCCCACCAAGGCGCCUCCGCACUCCGCUUGGCUGCCCUUCACAACCUUCGGCUUAACACUGAAGGUCUUGAGCCACAAGCCGAAGUGAGGCUGGAUGCAGAGGAAGGCCUCACACACGACGAUAAACGCCGAGAUAUUGAGAAUGAAAUUCGGGGCCAGAUCAUGGAAAUCCAGGCCGUAGUAGAACAUGAGCCCCCGGACAAAGGGAUGGAGUGGGAAGCCCAGUCCGCGGAGGAAAUGGGAAAGAAAUACUACCCUCUCAUGGGGCCUGGGGGUGGGGAUGAGCUCCCCCUCGUCGGGGAGCCGGUGCGCGAUGUCGCCGGACAGAUAUCCGGCGCUGCGCAGCUUCUGGAUGUGCCCCUCCGUAACGGAGGAGGCCAUACACUUGCCUCCCGCUCCGGACAUAGUUGGAGAAGGUUGAGGUGAGAUGUGCGGACUUGGGCGCUGGAGCUCGAGUUCGCGGAGAUGGAUAAGCAAAGGAGGAAGAAGGCGUAGGUAAAAGGGUUGGAUCUUUAUCCCCUUAUAUGGGCGGACGAAAACAAGCGUCCCCACCGACCUGAUAAAACUCGCUUAUCUCCCAAGCGCCGCAAUCAAUGGCGCGGUUGGGUUACCCACGUCCGUAUUGAUGGGAAUCCCGGAAUAAGGGGAACACGAUCUCUGCUUCGACAAGACAUGCCAAGGAAACUGCUUCACUAAACACGCUGAGGUGGUACAAUAAAAACAAUUCCGGUAAAGGCUUGGUAGUGGUGUGAUGUCACGCCACAAAAUACGUCAGCAGAUUGAACUUGUGUAAAUACUAUUCUCUCUACGGUGGUAUGUGGAAUUUAUUUUGCAGAGCCGGACACUAUCCUGGUGUUCACAAUCUUCUAUGAAUUAUUCGGAGAAGGAACCCGCCUUGCAACGCCAAAGACAAUAUGCGUGCCGGACUCGUCGUCAUUGAAGCCUGGUUCAGGGGCGACUGAGGGAGUCCUGGACUAGCGGGUGUCCGGACAGUCGAACUAUCAUCAUCGGCCGGACUCCAAGAGUAUGAAGAUACAAGAUUGAAGACUUCGUCCCAUGUCCGGAUGGGACUUUCCUUGGCGUGGAAGGCAAGCUUGGCAAUACGGAUAUGUAGAUCUCCUACCAUUCUAACUGACUCUGUGUAACCCUAGCCCUCUCCGGUGUCUAUAUAAACCGGAUGGCUUUAGUCCAUAGGACGAACAACAAUCAUACCAUAGGCUUGCUUCUAGGGUUUAGCCUCCUUGAUCUCGUGGUAGAUCUACUCUUGUAAUACCCACAUCAUCAAUAUCAAUCAAGCAGGAUGUAGGGUUUUACCUCCAUCAAGAGGGCCCGAACCUGGGUAAAACAUCGUGUCCCUUGUCUCCUGUUACCAUCCGCCUAGACGCACAGUUCGGGACUCCCUACCCGAGAUCCGCCGGUUUUGACACCGACACCCCCACUUCACCCUUUCCGUUUUAUUCUCCCUCUCUUUCCCAAUCUCCUCUUCUCUUUUUCGCUCGCUUUCUUCCGCCCUGCUUUUGUUUGCCGCUAUGUCUGAAAUUGGGGAGAUUAUCAUCGAUAUGGACAAUAAUGAUAACUUGGAAAAUCCCGAGGCUCCGGCCGAUGAACCCCUUAUCUUGCAUACUAAAAAGUUUCAAAUCGGCAGUGGUAACAUCAUUGGCAAAGGCGUUAUUCAAGAUUUCUUUACUUGUGCCGGUGCUUUACCUUCCUUGGGAUGUUCUAUUCUUCAUAAAACUAGUAGUCUUGUGGAUGCUAUCACUACGCUUGUAGUUGAACUUGAAAGACAAUUUAUGCAUAUGCAUCCUUGCAUACAAAGAAUUUUCCUAGAAUUCUCUAAUAUUGAGCAUUCUUCUGUUAAGCGCGCUGUUACUAUAUUUUUGGCUCACGAGUUUAGAUUUAUCAUAAGAGAGUCCAAAGAAAUCUUUGCACACUAUAGGGUGGACGCCGGUCGUCUUCCCAUAGAGGCGAUCCUCUAUGAUCAAGAGGAAUUUAGGCGUUUUCUAUCUUCGGACUAUGUUGCUUUUAAUGAAAACCUUAGAAAAAAGGUUCCUAUCAAUGCCUUGGUUGAUUGCAUUAACGAACUUAAUAAUGAUUUUUCUCUUCGAAACAAUGAGCUAGGAUACUCUCUUGAGUAUAGGCUCACAAGAUUUUGCCAAAAGAACGCUUUUAGUGAUGAAAUAGUUGUGCACUAUGAAGGGCCAAAGGAGGAACCCGUUAUUCCUGUGAUUGAUCUUGGGGACAUCUGUCCUACUAAAUUUAGCCCUUUUGAUUACUUUUGCUUGCCUCAAAGAAAACUUGCCGCCGAACAUAGAGAAUAUGAGAUGAGCCUUCAAGAUCUAUCUUAUUAUUAUGGCACUCGUUAGAUCUAUCUUCGCUUUUAUGCCUAGCUAGGGCGUUAAACGAUAGCGCUAGUUGGGAGGCAACCCGAUUUUUCUUUAUGUUUUUUGUUUUUGCUCCUGUUUAGGAAUAAAUCUUGCAUCUACUCUCUGUUUAGAUGUGUUUUUAUCUUUUAAUUAGUGUUUGUGCCAAGUAGAACCUAUAGGAUAACCUACGAUGAUAGUUGAUUUGAUUCUGCUGAAAAAUAGAAACUUUGCACGCACGAAUAUAAUUUUGUUAAAUCACAAGAACGUGCUUUUGCGUUGAUUCUUUUUGCUGCUGUUCCAUACACAAAAUUUCCAGGACUUCCUAUUUUGGUACGAUUUUUAGAGUUCCAGAAGUUUGCGUUAGUGACAGAUUGCUACAGACUGUUCUGUUUUUGACAGAUUCUGUUUUUCGUGUGUUGUUUGUUUAUUUCAAUGCAUCUAUGGCUAGUAAAUUAGUUUAUGAACCAUAAAGAAGUUGGAAUACAGUAGGUUUAACACCAAAAUAAAUAAAUAAUGAGUUCAUUGCAGUAUCUUAUGUGGUGGUUUUGUUUUCUUUCACUAACGGAGCUUAUAAGAUUUUCUGUUGAGUUUUUGUGUUGUGAAGUUUUCAAGUUUUGGGUAAAGCUUUUAUGGACUAUGGAAUAAAGGGUGGAAAGAGCACCCCAAGAUAUUCAAAAGUAGCAAAAAUCCUAAGCUUGGGGAUGCCCCGGAAAGGCAUCCCCUCUUUCGUCUUCGUUCAUAGGUAACUUUAUUUGGAGCUAUAUUUUUAUUCGCCACAUGAUAUGUGUUUUGCUUGGAGUGUCGUGUAUUAUAUUAGUCUUUGCUUUUUAGUUUACCACAAUCAUCCUUGCUGUACACACCUUUUGGGAGAAGCCUAUUUGAUUAGAAUUUGCUAGAAUACUCUAUGUGCUUCACUUAUAUCUUUUGAGCUUGAUAGUUUUUGCUCUAGUGCUUCACUUAUAUCUUUUAGAGCACUGUGGUGUAUUAAUCUUGAAGAAAUUGCUAGUCUCUCAUGCUUCACUCAUAUUAUUUUGAAGUCUUUUAGAACAGCAUGGUAUUUGCUAUUAUCAUAAAGUUGGUCCUAGAAUGAUGAGCAUCCAAGUUGGGUAUAAUAAAAACUAUCAUAGGAAGUGAAUUGGAUGCUAUGAUCAAUUUGAUACUUGAUAAUUGUUUUGAGAUAUGGAGGUAGUAAUAUUAAAGUUAUGCUAGUUGGAUGAUUAUGAAUUUAAAGAAUGCUUGUGUUGAAGUUUGUGAUUCCCGUAGCAUGCACGUAUGGUGAACCGCUUUGUGAUGAAGUUGUAGCACAAUUUUAUUUAUUGAUUGUCUUCCUUAUGGGUGGCGGUCGGGGACGAGCAAUGGUCUUUUCCUACCAAUCUAUCCCCCUAGGAGCAUGUGCGUAGUGCUUUGAUUUUUGAUGACUUCUAAAUUUUUGCAAUAAGUAUAUGAUUUCUUUUGAUUAAUGUUGAGUCCAUGGAUUAUACGCACCCUUUAACCAUUCCACCAUUGCUAGCCUCUAUUGUGUCGUGCAAUUUUCGCCGGUACCAUACACCCACCAUACUCCUUCCUCAAAACAGCCACCAUACCUACCUAUUAUGGCAUUUCCAUAGCCAUUCUGAGAUAUAUUGUCAUGCAACUUUCCACCGUUCCGUUCAUAUGACACACAUUACUUUUGUCAUAUUGCUUUUUGCAUGAUCAUGUAGUUGACACCGUAUUUGUGGCAAGGCCACCUUCAUAAUUUUCAUACAUGUCGCUCUUGAUUCAUUGCAUAUCCUGGUACACCGCCGGAGGCAUUCAUAUAGAGUUAUAUCUUGUUCUAGCUUUGAGAUGUAAAUCCAUAAAAGUGUGAUGAUAUUCAUUAUUAGAGCAUUGUCCUCGUGAGGAAAGGAUGAUGAAGGCUAUGAUUCCCCCACAAGUCGGGAUGAGACUUCGGACUUUCCAAAAGAAAAAAAAAGAAAAAAAAGAGAAAGGCCAAAAAAAGAAGGCCAAAGAAAAAAAGAGAAAAAUAAAAAGAAAAAAAUAUAAUGAGAGAAAAGGAGAGAAAGGACAAUGCUACUAUCUCUUUUUCCACACUUGUGCUUCAAAAUAGCACCAUGAUCUUCAUGAUAGACAGUCUCAUAUGUUGUCACUUUCGUAUACUAGUGGGAAUUUUUCAUUAUAGAACUUGGCUUGUAUAUUCCAAUGAUGGGCUUCCUCAAAAGUGCCCUAGCUCUUCGUGAGCAAGCGAGUUGGAUGCACACCCACUUAGUUUCUUUUGUUGAGCUUUCAUAUAUUUAUAGCUCUAGUGCAUCCGUUGCAUGGCAAUCCCUACUCACUCACAUUCAUAUCUAUUAAUGGGCAUCUCCAUAGCCCGUUGAUACGCCUAGUUGAUGUGAGACUAUCUUCUCCUUUUUGUCUUCUCCACAACCACCAUUCUAUUCCACAUAUAGUGCUAUGUCCAUGGCUCACGCUCAUGUAUUGCGUGAAAGUUGAAAGAGUUUGAUAUUAUUAAAGUAUGAAACAAUUGCUUGGAUUGUCAUCGGGGUUGUGCAUGAUUAAAUACUUUGUGUGAUGAAGAUAGAGCAACAGCCAGACUAUAUGAUUUUGUAGGGAUAACUUUCUUUAGCCGUGUUAUUUUGAGAAGACAUGAUUACUUUGAUUUUUUAUGCUUGAAGUAUUACUAUAUUUUAUUUCAAUAUGAACUUUUAUUUUGUAUUCAUUUGGAUCUGAACAUUCAUGCCACAAUGAAGAAAAUUACAUCAUGAAUUAUGCUAGGUAGCAUUCCACAUCAAACAUUCUCUUUUAUCAUUUACCUACUCGAGGACGAGCAGGAAUUAAGCUUGGGGAUGCUUGAUACGUCUCCAACGUAUCUAUAAUUUUUGAUUGUUCCAUGCUAUUAUAUUACCCCUUUUGGAUGUUUAUGGGCUUUAUUCUACAUAUUUAUAUCAUUUUUGGGACUAACCUACUAACCGGAGGCCCAACCCAUAUUGCUGUUUUUUUGCCUAUUUCAGUAUUCCGAAGAAAAGGAAUAUCAAACGGGGUCCAAAUGGAAUGAAACCUUCGGGAGCGUUAUUUUUGGAACAAAUCUGAUCCGGAGAGCUUGGAGUGCAAGUCAAGAAGUAGCUGAGGCUCCCACGAGAUAGGAGGGCAUCCCCCCCCUGUAGGGCGCGCCCCCUGUCUCGUGGGCCCCUCGGGCGUCCACCACGUACUUCUUCCUCCUAUAUAUACCUACGGACCCCGAAAACAUCCACGAGCACCACGAAACACAAUUUCCACCGCCGUAACCUUCUGUAUCCGCGAGAUCCCAUCUUGGAGCCUUCGCCGGCACUCUGCCGGAGGGGG
rnacentral:lncRNA from 1 species